AACUUUUCCCAACCUGCGCCAUUUUUUCCCGCGGAGAUUGCCAUGGCUCUCCUUCCCGUCUCUUCCCCCAAUAUACUCCCUCUCCACCUUCCUCCCUCUCCAUGGCGGUAGCUAAUUGAUUCCCCAUGCGUACGAAGAAGCAGGCAGACAUACACGCAAUUCGGAUGGCGCCGUAUGAGCAGAUCGGAAGGACGUGAAGGCAUGGGGAGGCGGAGCGACAUAGCACCGCAGUAGGGCGAGGCACAAACGCGCAGGCAUAGGGAGGCGGAGCGGCAUAGCGCCAUAGUAGGAGGCGAGACGUGAACGCAUGGAUGUAGCACCAGUGAGGUGUCGUGCCGUUGAUAAAGCCAGAGGAGGCGCCUCCAUAGGACGCGAGGUGGUUGUGUCCGACCCUGUGCUGGAGCUUCCGUGAUGCAGUUGCCUUGUGGAUUUGCUUCCCUACAAGCUCACACGGUACGAUUCAUUCUUGUAUUUUUGUUUUGGGUUCAGUCUUCAGUCGUAGAUGCAUGAUGUCGAUCCAUUUGAUGGUGAAGUAAAAGAAAAGAUUCUUUUGAUGGUGAAGUAAAAGAAAAGAUUAUUUUGAUGGUGCCGUACAUGCUUAUCAAAUUCUCGUGCUAUUAAUAGGAAAUAAUUUUACAUUGAUGCUCACUUCUAAUACAUGGGGAUUAAAAUUAAAGAUUACAAAUGAAAAGGCUUCUAAACCGUGGAUAUAUUAUUAAACAAGGAGUACAAGUAAAGCUAAGCUUGAUCAUCCCCAAAUUUUUGCCAUAUGUGCUUGACCAAGUCAGCCUUUAGUUGAUGAUGCUUUUCUUGAUCACAAAUAGCGUUGUUUGCUUCAAGUACCCUGGAGAAUUCAUAAAUUGGGCUAUGACCAGACCCCACCAAAGGUUGAGAGUUUCCCUGGUCAUAAUGAUUGUCUUCGUUCCGUACAUCAUACUGCUCGAUGUCGUUGUACCGCACCUCAUAGAAAUUCCUCUCAUCUUCAACUAUCAUGUUGUGCAGUAUAAUACAUUAUAUCUGCAAGUGUUUCUUCUUUCCAAAAAUGUGCGGGGCCUCGUAAUAUUGCAAAUCAAGCUUGCAAAACUCAAAAUGCCCGUUCAAUAUCUUUUCUUGCAGCUUCUUGUGUUUUUGCAAAUAAUUUGUGUUUCUCACUAUAAGGCAAUGGAAUUGUCUUUACAAACUAGGUAGUACACCAUAUUAUAUUGGUUUCCAUUCAGUGUAAACUGAACUGUCAUAGCACUUGCUUGCAAUAUGUUUGUAAACAAAGGUGACUGAUUCAAGACAUUAAUGUCAUUGUUUGAACUAGCAACACAAAAAUAAUAUGACAUAUCCACAGGUCAUGCGAGGCAACAACUUCAAGCAUGAUUGUUGAUACUUUUUUAUCACCACAAGUAUAUUGGCCUUUCUAUGCUAUCGGAUAAUAUUCCCAAUACCAAUGCAUGCAAUCAAGACUACCUAGCAUUCUAGAAAAGUCACGCGCUUCACCUACAAACAGUAAUAACCGAAUUCUUCAGUGGGUCUUCUUAGAUAUUCUGGACCAAAAUUCAAUCUAAUUCCUUUCACAAAUUCAACCAAGCACUCAAUGGUAAUGCUUUCAACAAUACGUAAACCUUCAUCCAAUAAAUCUGCAGGACUACCAUAGGUCAACAUUCGCAUAGCUAUGGUGCACUUGAGUAGAGGUGAAAAACCAAACUUGCCAAAUGCAUCUCUCCAUUGAUGAAAAUAUAGAGACCACUCACCAAGGGUAUGCACAAUACGCUGAAACAAAUGCCUCCUCAUCCUGAACCUCCGCCUGAAUUGAGUAUCAGUUUACACCGGGUUGUUGCAGAAGUAGUCAGCUUCUAACCAGUUGUUUGCAUCUUCUCAUUUCUGGUCUAUGUACCUUCGAGAGCCACUUCAACACUGAUUGGUAUUAAUCUCCGCUUCAACCUCAACAUCAAUAUCCGCUUCAACCUUGGCCAAUCGCCGCUUCAAGCUCCGCUUCAAUCUCAGCUUCAAGUGGGUCAUUCAUAAACUCCCACAUGAGCCUCUCAAGGGAACAUCUACAUUUCUAUAUACUUCAGGACACUCUCGUGACAUUGCUGUAGCAUCUAGGCCCCUAGGUAAGUGGUAAGUAUUUUGGUGAUUAAUGACAAUCGUAUCAUUGUGACUAAUAAUUUGUUUUGAAGGAAAUAAAAAAUUCAAUUCACAAUGAUAAUUGGUUAUUCUUGGUCCCUAAGGCGAUUAUAUGGAUGAUCAAAGGACUUGUGCAUCAAGAUUAAGGAUCUUCUAGUUAUAAGUGUCACAAAGAAGAUGAAGGACACUUAGAGUAGUAUAGGUUAUUUUUCUUUAUUCUUUUGAUCGUACUAUAAAGAGGGGCUAAGAAUAGUAGCUUAACCUAGUGAGUCUAGACUUGGUUUGAUACACACUUAUAAAAUUCUAGCACUAAAUAGCUCAUAGAAGCACAUGGUUAACAUGUCGAGAAGCUAGAGCUCAAGAAAGUUUUAAUUGGACGAGCUCAGAGAAAAUUUACUUCACCGGAUGAUCCGGUCUAUAUGAAGUGAUCUCACCGGUGCAUAUGGUUAUCUCAAGAUAGAAAACACUCUAGAUGCACCGGAUGCUCCGAUGAACAAAGUAAUGUAAUCACCGGAUGAUUUUCUGGGUGAUAAGUGGCCAAAAUUGUUAGAAGAGUUACACUGGAUAGUCCGGUGAUAGUGUGGUGAUAGCAUCGGUCUAUUUUCAGCAGAAGGGGCAUUGUUAGGAAAAAUUAAAGUUCAACUCAUCGGAUUAUCCGGUGAUGCAAUGAUGACAACACCAGACUAUUUAUUCCAGAGGCGAUUCCAAGGCAAGAAUUCUGAAGCUCAGUUCACAGGAUGGUCCAGUGAAGAUGGUGUUUACACCAGACCAAUUAUUGCAGAGAAUAGUUUAUUGUGACAGAAAAAACUUCCCUUACCAGAUGGUCCGGUGAAAGCAAGAAUGGAUCACCGGAGUAAUAUUUCUAGAGAGGAUUGUUUCGGUUGGAUUGAAGGAGUUCUACUCACCGGAUAGUCCGGUGAUAGACACAUAUGCACACAUGAGCUUUUCUACCAGAGAAGAUUUUGAGGACAAAAGAAGUUUAACCAACCGAUAGUCCGGUGAUAGCAAUGAAAUCAUCACCGAAGCAUAUUUUCCAGAUAGGGUUGCAACGGGCAAUUUAGCUAGUUUGUACGCACAUGAUGGUUCGGUGUUAGAUCGGUGUUCACCGGAUGAUGUCACCGGACUAUUUCUCACCAGUAACAGCUAAUGACAGCUAGCACAGUGGCAAUGUAAGUUUGUACUCACCGGAUUGUCCGAUGUCAGUGUGGAGAUACUCACCGGAUCAUCCGGUGUUAACAGAAAAAGUGGGUGGUUAGGUAACGACUAUAAUUUGGAUCUCUAGCCUAUAAAUACUCAUCCACUUGGUUUCAUUUAUCUCUCUCAUAUCCCAGAGGAAUUCAUACACUAUGUGUGUCAGCAAGAAGCAAGGGAGAGCAUUUGAGUUGAUUUCCAAGUCCCUAAUUGAAUAUUAAGGACAUUAUUAGUGCUUGAAGAGUAGCAAGUGUGCAUCUAGCUGUAGUCUAGGCUUGAUCUUGGUCAAGUGAAGCUAUUGACUUAUUACUCUUUGUGGUUGGCAACAUCUAGCUGAUCUUUGGUGAUUAGUAGUGUCUCGAUGAGCUCUUGAAGUUCUUGCAGGAGCCUUGGGAAGAGCUAUGUACUUGGUUUGAUAUCCGCUAAUCCGAAAAUGGAGAAGUGACAAUCAUGAUGGGGCACUUGAGUCUUGGUGACUCAAGGGGAGUAAUAUCCUUAGUGGAUGCUCUAACGAGGACUAGGGGAGUGCCAACUCCUCGAUACAUCGGAAAAAUAUCCGGUGUUCUCUUGUUUAUUUCUUUACUAUUCUACAAUUUAAUUUCAGUAUUUACAUUCUUGCAAGCUUUUAAUUCCAUAUUUUUUAGUGUUUUUGCUUGCUUGUUUAGUUGCAUUCUCCUAGCUUGUUCGUGUAGUCGUAUUUCUUUUCAUCUAGGCUAACUUUGCUAUUUGUUCUAAUUUUUUGUAGAAGUUUUUAAUUGCCCAAUUCACCCCCCUCUUGGGCCAUUAGAACUUUUCAAUUGGGAUCAGAGUCUCGUGCUCUUGAUACGCUUAAAAUCCUAGAGCAAUGACCCCAGGGAGUGGAAGUAGCGUGCCAAAGUUCAAGGGAAAGAACUUUGCAUAUUGAAAAGUUUGCAUGGCGAGCUAUCUUGAGGCUAUUUCGCUCGAAGUUUGGCUAGCUGCCUCUAUUGGGUUUGAUCAACCUUUUACCGACCAACAAGUUAGGUGGAAUACUAAGGCUAAGAAUGCUAUAUUUUAGGGAAUUAGUGAAGAGGUUUUCUCUAGAGUUAGAAGCAAUGAAUUUGCUAAUGAGAUUUGGACCGCUCUUUGUGAAAUUCAUGAUGGUUCUAGGAAAAUUCGUGGGGAAAGAUAUCAUGCGCUUAUGAAUGCUCUUAAUCAAUUCAAGAUGCUUCCUAAUGAGUUAUGCAAUGAUGUGUAUUCUCGCAUGAAUAUACUUGUGAAAUAAAUCAAUUCUUUUGAACUCACUCAAUUGUCUCAAGAAGAUAUUAUUCGUAGGAUCUUGAUGAUGCUUUUCAAGCUGUAAUACAACAUUGUCAUCUCUCUUCUUCAUGAAAGGGACAUGAAUAACAUGACCAUCACCGUUGCUGUUGGAAAGAUAUGUGCUUAUGAGAUGUUCUUGUUUGGAUAUCAUGAGUCUUCAUCCAAGAAGAAUCUUGUUCUCAAGGCAAAUAUGGUUGACAAGAACAAGAAGAAGAUGAAGCUCCAAUCAUAAAGUGAAAGCAAUGAAGAUGAAGAUGAUGAUGAUGAUAGUGACGACUCUGACACCGAGCUUGCUCUUCUAAUGAGAAGAGCCACAAGGAUGAUCUCCAAGUUUCAUAAGAAGGGCUACAACUAUGAUCCAUGAAGAACAAAUUUCGUCCAAAGAAAUUUGAUAAGUCCGGUGGCAGAGAUAAGAAGAAGUGCUACAAUUAUGGUGACCUUAACCACAUAUCAUAUGAUUGCCCUCAUCCUGACAAGAGAAAUAAGAACAAGUCCAAGAAGAUUAAUGCAACUGAAAAUGAGGACAAGCACAAAAGGAAGAAUCAAGACAAGAGAAAGAAGAAGCUCUUCAACACGAAUGAUGGAGGCCGCAAGUCCUACAUUGUUGGUGAAUGGGUCUCAGGCAAAAGUUCAAGUGAUGAUUCAAGCGAUGAUGAAGACAACAACUUCGUGAGCCUCGCCAUCACCAAUGAUGAUCCACCUCUACCUCUACCACCUAUGUGACUCAUGGCAAAAAGUAACAACAAGGUAAGUAGUAUGGAAGAUGAUAGUAGUGAUGAUGAUAAUCUUUCUCUUAAUGAUCUAUCUAAGCUCAUGAAUUACUAUGCUACUAUUAUCAAGAAAUAAAAAGCAAGCUAAAAUCAAGUAUCUUGAAAAUGCUAAUGUUAUACUUAGUUCUAAUAAUGAUGAGUUGCUUCCUAAAUACAAUGAUGUGCUUAAGAAAUAUGAUGAAGUAAUUGCAUCUAGCAAGUCACUUGAGGCUAGUAACAAGAAGCUAAAAUUUAAACAUAUUGACUUGAAAUGCAAAUAUACAGAACUUGAGUUAGCUUAUGAUGCCAUUGAUCCUAGCAUGAAUGAAUUGCCUAUUAUUGAUGUUGUUAAGGUCAAUGCAUCUAUUUCUUGUGAUGAUCUUCUUGAUAUACCAUGCUCCUCUUCAUGUGAUAAUAUAUCAUCCUAAGACUAACCAUGCAAGGGAGCAAGAGCUCAAAGAGGAGAUUGCAAAUCUCAAUUCAUGUGUAUCCCGGUUGACUAAGGGAGAGUACAAGCAAAGAAAAUUCUCAUGAAAAAUGUAUUGUACUACAAUAAGAAAGGUCUUGGAUGCUUUUCCAACCCGGUGGAUAAGAUCAUCAAGUCACCAAAGAUCAAGAAUUACUUUAUCAAGAAAAUUGAUUCAUAUUGCUAAUAUUAUGAAGUCACAGGUCACCACACAAGGGAGUAUCCAAUUCCUACUAAACUCCUUCCUACUUUGCCUUUCAAGUACAAGUCUACUUUUCAUUAUCACAAUUUUCUAUUGCAUAAACGUAAAAGUGGUAAAGUCAUGGCUAAAUUCAAUGAAACUCAAGCUAAGGGAAAACUUUCUAGGUAAAUUUAGGUGCCUAGAGCUCUUAUGAGUCACUUUAAAGGUACCAAACUUGGUUGGAUACCUAAAAAAAGCUUGAUUCAUGUGUGUAGGUAAACUACAAAGCUGGUGGGAAGUAUUGGAUACUUGGUAGUGGAUGUAUAUAACAUAUGAUCGGCGAUGUAAAGAUGUUCUCCUCACUAAAAGAUGAUAUGGGCGAUCAUGAUAAAGUCACUUUUGGUGAUAAUUCUAAGACAAAUAUGAUAGGUUCGGAUAAGAUAUCAAUCUCCAAUGAUUUCUCUAUCUCUAAUGUUUUUUUUAGUAGAGUCACUUAGCUUUAAUCUACUUCCUGUAGCUCAACUAUAUGAUUUAGGCUUCACAUGCUUAUUUACUGAUGUUGACGUUAUCAUAACUAGCAAGAAGCAUAAUGAUCUAAUCUUUAAAGACUUUAGACAUGGACAUAUAUAUCUUGUGAAUUUCUCCUCUAAUGAAGCUAGCUUGACUACAUGCCUCUUCACCAAGACAUCUAUGGGUUGACUUUGGUAUCGUCUACUUGCACACAUUAGAAUGUGCCAACUCAAGAAGGCGUUCAAGAACAUAAUGAUAGUUGGUUUGAAGAAUAUUGUAUUCGAGAAGGACAAGUUGUGUAGUGCUUGCCAAGCAAGAAAACAAGUCGCAAUCUCACAUCCAUACAAGUCCAUGAUGUCUACAUCAAGACCCUUGGAGCUACUACAUAUAAACCUUUUCGGACCAACUAUCUACAAAAGUCUUGGUGGUAAUCUUUAUUGCCGUGUAAUUAUUGAUGAUUAUAUAAGAUACACUUGAACUUUCUUUCUAGAUGAUAAGAGCAAGAUCAUUGGGAUCUUCAAGAAGUUCGCGAAGAGUGCUCAAAAUGAAUUCGAGGUCACAAUUGUGAAGAUCCGGAGUGACAAACGGCACGGAGUUCAAGAACACAUACAUUGAAGAAUUUUGUGAUGAUAGAGGCACUAAGCAUGAGUUCUCAUCAACCUACACCCCUUAACAAAAUGGCGUUGUGGAGAGAAAGAACAAGACCUUGAUCACUCUUGCAAGAGCAAUGUUGGAUGAGUAUGGUACACCGGAGAAGUUUUAGCCGGAAGCAAUUAACACGGUGUAUCAUCUAUCCAAUCGAGUGUACCUCUGCCAACUAUUGAAGAAGACAUGAUAUGAGCUUCUCAUUGGGGGAAAACCCAAUAUCUCAUAUUUUCGGGUGUUCGGGUGUAAGUGAUUUAUCUUCAAGAAAAAAGAACGCCUAGGAAAAUUUGAAAAACGUUGCGAUAUUGAUUUUCUUGUUGGUUAUGCAUCUAACUCAAAAGCAUAUCAAGUAUUCAACAACGCCAUCGGUCUUAUUGAAGAAACAUGUGAUGUGGAGUUUGAUGAAUCUAAUGGCUCCUAAGGAGAAGGUGUUUCUUGUGAUGAUGUAGGUUAUGAACCCUUGAGAGAUACAAUGAGGAAUAUGGCAAUUGGGGAUAUCAAGCCUAAGAAGGAUGACGAAGAUGUACCUUCUACUUCAAUUCCUCACACCUUCAUGGUGCCCUAAGUUGAUGAAGAUGAGGACAAGAAUAAUCAACCACUUCCAUCACAUGAUGUUCAUAUCUCUCAAGAGGAAGCUCAAGCUUAAGCUUAAGAUGUUGCACCACUAUAAGAUACACCUCAAGAACCACAAGUGAAGCAUACGCAUAUUUCUAAGGAUCACCCGAUUGACUUGAUCAUUGGAAGUCCAUCUAGGGGAGUACAAACUCGCUUUCGUCAAUAUACUUCAUUUUAUGAACAUUAUUUGUUUGGAAUCCACACAUGUAGAUGAGGCUCUUAAGGAUUCGGAUUGGGUGAUGGCUAUACAAGAAGAACUCAGCAACUUCACCCGCAAGAAUGUAAUUGGAGCCAAGUGGGUCUUCCACGGUAAGCAAGAUGAACAUGGUAUGAUGGUACGCAACAAGUCAACACUCAACACGCAAGGAUUUUCACAAGUUUAAAGUUUAGAUUUUGACGAAACAUUCGCUCCCGUGGCAAGGCUUGAGGCCAUUCAUAUCAUUCUUGUAUUUUCUUCACAUCAUAAUAUUAAUCUUUAUCAAAUGCAUGUGAAGAGUGCAUUCUUAAAUGGCUUCAUCAAUUAAAUUGUUUAUGUUGAAUCACCCCCUGGUUUCAAAGAUCCUAGCUAUCAUAAUCUUGUCUAUAGGUUGCACAAGGUGCUUUAUGAACUAAGCAAGCCCCAAGAGUUUGGUAUGAACGUCUACGUGACUUCUUCAUCAAUCAAGGAUUCAAAAUCGGGAGGGUGGACACCAUAUUAUUCACAAAGAUCAUCGACAAUGAGCUUUUCUUGUGUUAAAUUUAUGUUAAUGAUAUAAUAUUUGGUUCAACUAACAAAGAGUUUUGUAAGGAAUUUGGUACAUGUUAUCUAGGGAGUUCGAGAUGUCAAUGAUCGACGAGCUCAACUAGGAAGGAACAUUCAUCCAUCAAGACAAGUAUACGAGGGACAUCCUCAAAAAGUUCAAGAUGGAUGAUUGCAAGCCAAUCAAGACCCCCAAGCCUACUAAUGGCCAUCUCAACUUGGAUGAAACGGAUGGGUUGUUAGUGCAGUAAAAAGGGCAAGGGCAAGGCUGUUGAGCAACCAAAGAAGAAGUCGAAGGCUCAAAAGGAGUGGGAUAGAGCCUUAGCAGCAGCUAAGGCAGCAAACACUUAGCGAGGUUUCGCAAUCCGAGGCGACUCCACUACUCCGCGUCGGUCCACCUGCACCCGUCUUACCGGGAGGUUGGGUUUGACGCCUUUCGGCCAGUUAGGCAGCCGGAAGAGGGCUCGUCAGGAGUCAGAGCCAGUUGAGGAGGAGGAGGAGCAGGCAAAGCAGCAGCAGACAGAGCAGCCAGAGGAAGAGACAAAGCUUAGGCUCAUCGAUGUGACUUCUUAUAAGUCAUAGAGGAUUAAGACGCUGCAUUUUGUGCCCAUUGAGGAGUGGUUUUCUAAAGUUAGGGAUGAGGGAGUUGAUCCCCGGUUCUAGACAGUCCUGCAAGAGAGCUUCUUCCACUCCUAUCUCAGGAAGAAGGUUAGUUUGAGCUAGCACAAGAUGCUCAAGUGAUGCUAUAUGCAGUCAGCUGCAGGGGGAGUGGACGUGAGGCAACACUUUGACGCCUUCCCUGGACUUUCAGUUCUGCUCACUGGCGUGGACAUAUAUAUAGAGGAUUGGGUCAGAGUGUUCUACACCACAGUCUGGAUUGCACCAGAGAGGAACUUUAUUCAUUUCAUGGUCCAAUGUGACAUUUUUAGAUUAUAUCAGAACAAUUUACUUGAGUCUCUAGGGGUUCAGACGAGUCCCAAGUAUCUGCACGAGAUCAUUCAUCCAAAUGACAAACCCUCUCGUCGUCCCCUGGUUGGUGGCAUCUUCCCCACUGAAGAGGAGAUCAUGCUGCUCUUCAGACAACCCUUCGCUCUAGGUUCGCCGUGACUUCUAGACAUGCUGACACAUGUAGCGAAGGCCAUCCACAUGGCCCUGAGAUGGAGUUUGCUGCCGAGGAUCGGCUAGAGAGAGGCUAUCACCAGCCUGCAUCAGUGGUUGAUUUUUUCCAUCCUUACUCACCGCCGUUUUGAUAUCGUGGAUCUGAUCCUAUAUGAGAUUGAAGAUGCUAUAGCAUAUAGGAUGUCCCUAGCCAGACAUCAGUUGUAUGUGCACUUCAUCUCUCAUUUGUUUGCUCACGCCAUCAAGUAUCUCGAGUUCCUCGAGACCUAUGAGGAGUCAGCUACUCGCUUUAAGGAGUAUGCUCCUUCUGCUCUUGUAACACCAAGUUUUAAAGGAACAAAAUUGGGCACAACACAUGUAUGCCACGAUCAAGUUUCAUAUAUGCGUUUACAUCAUCAGUGUAUCAUCACAGUGUUAAAAUUACAAUAACGUUAUUUACGUAUUACAAAAGGACCCAAUGGUCUAAAAGAAAACACAGCGGAACAAGAGAUCUUCAGCGCUAGCGGGGCUUCCAUCUUCCUUAGACAUCAACCGGGGGCACUACAGCCUCGAACAGCAACUCUGGGUCGAAGUCAUCUUCGAUAAAGGUUGUAGCUUCAUUGAUAGCUUCUGAACAACGGUAGAAUGCAAGAGAAGGGAUAACGAGGGUGAGUACAAAAUGUACUCCGUAAGUGAAGGGAAAACAUGCUAUGGGGCUUAAGUCAAGGAAAGGUUAGACAAGGUUAACUACACUAAGCAAACUUUAGCCUAUAACUCUAACAACAGGCAUCAUAUUUACUAAGUAUGAAGACACCACUAUAGCAAAAGGAUUGACUCAUCGGAUUCCAUCCGGCUACCAAGACUCACCUAGUUACCCGACCAAUCAUACCAAACUCUGAUCCCAUCUAAUCCUAAUGAAGUCCAAGUCCGCUCUUAUCUAUGAGCACGGCUGAUCGACUAGAUUGAUACUCUGCAGAGUUUGCAUAGCUUUCCCCAUGAGUCGUGAUUCCUAUGUUGCUUCACACUUCCGGGGUGUGGAGUCAAGGUCUUACUACAAGGCAUUUACAAAGCUCCCGCCAGCUUGCAGGCACCCACUGAGGUUUCAUCGCUAACAGUUGAUUACAUCGCUGCAGAAACCCCCUCUUGUGCCACUUAACUGUCCAACGGUUCCCACAGAGUUAGAGGGGUGGCUAAUUAGUUGGCCAGGCUGUGCCCAUAUAGGCCUCGUGGUUGUGCGGAUUCACUUGGUUACAUGUUCAAAAACCGGUCCUUAGGACCCCACAUAGGAACAAGCACAAGCCUGCUAUAUAGCACCGCCUCAAACCAACCAUCCUGUAGGAUCCCUAUACCAUGUUGCUGCAAAAGAUUACCAUACCCGAUUCUUGUUGCGUAGACAUUAGUCAAGAUUAACAUUUUCCCGACUAUGAUUAGACUAGCAUAUACUACCCAUUUUAACCCAUGGUUAAACAACGGUGACAAGGAAUAUUCAUACAAAGCUUGUAAAUCCUAACAUAGGAGUCUAAUUUAGACAAGCAUGCAUAGAAGGAAUAAAAAUAGGGGCAAAAUGCUAAAGGACACUUGCCUUCAUCGGAGGGUUGCUCAAAGUCUUCAAAAGCUUGAUCUUGAAGAUGCCCGAACUACUCACCUCCUAAUCGACAAAACGAAAAAAAAACACACAAAGAAAACUACUAAGAAUAGUACACCAUAUAGUACUAAAACUAGGUAAAAUCCCUAUAAAAAGAUCCUAAACGUCGCUAUGAACAUUUUAGCAUGAAAAUCACCCAAAACGGAGCUACAUGCAAAAAAUAUUGAGUUUUUGAAGUUUUAGGGGCUAAACUGCAAAUUUUACUUGAUUUUCGAGAAUAAACUGAAUUGACUUUAUACUGAAAAAUUCUAAUUACGAGGCCAUAAAUCAAAACUGAUUUAAUUCUCUAUUGGAAAAUCUCAUGGAAAAGGUUUAUGGGCCUAUGGACCACGGCCUCGAGGCCGGUCCAUGGGUCCACGGUGGAUCGAACCGAAAGGGUAUGCACCCCUCUGAACUGGGCCGUCCAUCCGAGAUCGGACGGCCGAGGUUCAAAGGAGCUUGGACCGAGUGGCAUGAACACGAGCAAUGGCCGGCCGACAGCGGUGCGCGGCAGGGACCUCACCGGAGUAGCGCAAAAAUGCGCUACCGGCCAUGGAUCUCGCCGGAAAGCGGCGCAAAACAGAGAGGGUGACACGGGGAAGCUCACCGUGGGUCUCUUUGCGACGGAGGGGAGAUGAGGGCGAUCGACGGGGUUGAAGCUCAGUGCGAGCGGCCCUCCGGUGAUGGGAAGACGCCGAGAAGCGGUGCAAGCAGGCCCUCGGGAACUUGCGCACAUGGGAGAGGGAUCGAUUUGAUCAAAGGGAGCUCACCGGCGACGAAUUGAGGCGGCAGAGCUAACUCAGCAGCGUUCGGGAA